ACUAUAAUGGCAGAAAAGUGCAUUGGAUUUAGGAUUCAAUAAUGAGGAAUUACUCUUCUUAUAGUA
rnacentral:tRNA from 1 species